rnacentral:rRNA from 1 species
UGAACGCUGGCGGCGUAGAUUAGGCAUGCAAGUCGAGCGAUGUUCUGAAUUGAGAGGUUGAAGCCGCAAGGUGGAUGCCAAUUGAUUUGGAAACAUAGCGGCAGACUGGUGAGUAAUGCGCGAGUAAUUUACCUCUAAGUCGGGGAUAGCUUUGCGAAAGCGAAGGUAAUACCCGAUGUGUUUACGACUGCAUAAGCAGAUGCAAGUAAAGGGGGUUCGCAAGAAUUCUUGUUUAGAGAUGAGCUCGCGUCCUAUCAGCUAGUUGGUGGGGUAACGGCCUACCAAGGCUUUUGACGGGUAGCUGGCCUGAGAGGGUGGUCAGCCACAUGGGGACUGAGACACUGCCCCAACUCCUACGGGAGGCUGCAGUCGAGGAUAUUUAGCAAUGGACGAAAGUCUGACUAUGUGACGCCGCGUGAGGGAUGAAGGUCUUCGGAUUGUAAACCUCUUUCGAUGGGGAAGAAAACCUGCUUUAAUACAGCAGACUGACGGUACCCAGAGAAGAAGCCACGGCCAACUCUGUGCCAGCAGCCGCGGUAAUACAGAGGUGGCGAGCGUUACUCGGAUUUAUUGGGUGUAAAGGGCAAGUAGGCGUCUUAACAAGUUAGAAGUGAAAUCCUGCAGCUCAACUGCAGAACUGCUUUUAAAACUGUUGAGAUUGAGUUUGGGAGAGGAAAGCGGAAUUCUCGGUGUAAGAGUGAAAUCUGUAGAUAUCGAGAGGAACACCGGUGGCGAAGGCGGCUUUCUGGUCCAGUACUGACGCUGAAUUGCGAAAGCUAGGGGAGCAAACAGGAUUAGAUACCCUGGUAGUCCUAGCCGUAAACUAUGAGCACUAGGUGUUGGGGGUUUACCCUUAGCGCCGUAAGUAACACGUAAGUGCUCCACC